rnacentral:tRNA from 1 species
AAAGAGUUAAUUUAUUAAUAUAUUAGUAUGUCAUACUAAAAUUAUUAGAAAAAUUAGUCUAAUAUUCUUUU